UACGUAGGGGGCAAGCGUUGUCCGGAUUUAUUGGGCGUAAAGAGCUCGUAGGCGGUUCCGUAAGUCGAGUGUGAAAAAUCUGGGCUCAACCCAGUGGAGCACUCGAUACUGCGGUGACUGGAGUACGGUAGAGGAGUGUGGAAUUCCUGGUGUAGCGGUGAAAUGCGCAGAUAUCAGGAGGAACACCGGUGGCGAAGGCGGGUCUCUGGGCCGUAACUGACGCUGAGGAGCGAAAGCGUGGGUAGCAAACAGGAUUAGAUACCCCUCG
rnacentral:rRNA from 1 species